rnacentral:lncRNA from 1 species
AUGUUAGCAAGUCUGUUUCAUAUUUUAGUCAAAUAUACCUUUGUCGCACUGCCUGAAUGGAUUCAGAUGACAGUGACAAACUCAGUUCUGUUCUAUUUAACAUGCACCCGCUGCAAUCAAAUUAACAAUGUACAAAUCUUCAUCGGGCUUCUCCAGAUUUACUGUCAGAAGAGUCUGUUGAGCGCCUCAGCAUUGCGGGCGAGUGAGCUGGCUGCAAGUUGUCUGGGCUCCAGGACUGCGACCCCUUUCUGUGUCAGUUGGGAGCCAGAGGAAGGAGGCAUCCCCAGAGGAGCAAGGCACCAAGUGGAUAAAUUUACCCUGUUGGGAAGAUGCUGGCAGCAGUGGAUUUUCAGCAGGGAUUCAUGUACCCUGAAGAAGCAAACUGAACCCUCCCAGUUGAACAGCUCAGCAGUUUACCCCCCACAGCACGAGUGGGGAAGAGAGGAACUGUCGCUCCGAGGAGCGUGCGAAGGCAGACGGUACACCUCAGCUCUGCGUAUCUCCCUUCCCCGCACCCUCCCUCUGAAGAGCGCUUAAGCAGGAAGCAGUGGUGGAGUUAGUAGGGGCUGACAUCUUGCAGCACUAUGACUGCUCCCCUUUGCACCUUUUCUGGAGUCAGUGCAAGACUAUGUGACCAUGUCCAGGACUGGAUGAAAUGGAGGACUGGGCAUUUCUCCAGCAGCGAUGUGCAGGUUAUACAUGGCAGGUGUGUUGAUUGCUGGCCCAUAGCAGAGGCAGAGGGGGGAUGCACCUGGGAGUGAAUAUGCCCCAGCUGUGCUGAUGGUGACUGCUCUUACACAGCGAGAGCAGCUUCAGGUUGCAGGUGAAGGUUGAGGAGUUAGGUGAAGGUAUGGGGCUAGUCAGGGAUAUGUACAUACCUAUGAGACAGCAUCCUGAGACCUGAAUUGUCUUGCUGUGGCUUGGCUAAACUAACAUGGGUUUGAAACAGUGAAGGAAAAGCAUAUGAAAAGUGCAUCUGGCCUAUUUUAACUUUCUUCUUUUGGCAGCCCUUUGUUGGCUACUUUUCCUGCUAGAUUUUCUCCCAGUCCCAUAAAUAAGCCAGUCAUAAGUUUAGAUUUGAUCCAUUCAUUCAUCUUACAACAUAUGAGUUCCUUCCACACAUGAUCAAUAGCUGGAGCUGGCCUGCUAUUCCACCUCUUCAUCCCUUCUGGAGCACAACCUUUGCAAGAGAUGUAAGGUGGGGUGGAGUCUGCUUUUUCAGGGAAGUGAUUUGUUUUUGCUUUACGAAGGAGAAAGGAGAAGAAUGAGCAGAGAAUCAGUAUUAUCACCCCCUCUCCUCCCUACACCACCUGCUGAUGGUGAGCUUUAAGCCUUGUUACAAACUGCAUUUGAAUUCAGCCCAAGCUAACUUCAGAAGCUGGAGUUCCUUGGUCAGUGUGAUUCUGCUCCUUUCAUACCUUCUCCAGAAGACGCACAUAUCUCAGAUAGUGAUUCUGCAUCCACAAGGGCUGAACUGGGCAUUUCUCCAGAGGUAAGGCCAAGCUGCACACUGAGUACUUAAGGAAAUAAUGUUUGCCUUAUGUUUCUUAUUCACAGCCUUUCCUAAAUCAUUGUAAGGGGGGUGGGGGAGUGUAAGGAGCUAGGUUUGUAUGUAACCUGAAUGUCAAGAAGUGCUUUUUGCCUUCUCUAGAGAUCAGCUCUGCGGAGCCCUACAGGGUGUGAUCUUGUAUUUGGUAAUGUGAGAGCAAGGAGCAGAAGCACAAGCAACCAGCACAGUAAUAGAAUUACAUCAGGGUAUUUGGAUUGUGUUGUAGUCCCACGCCCAAGUAAGGUGCAAAAAUAAAUGAGCACACAUUCACA